UCCUGCUCACAGUGACACUGAUCUGGUAACGCCCCCGUCCUGGCCUGACCCUGCCAUGGGCACCAGGCUCCUCUGCUGGGUGGUCCUGGGUUUCCUAGGGACAGGUGAGUCCUCAGAACACCAAGUAGUUUCAUUUAUUUGCUGUGUGUAGGCGUGUGUGUGUGUGAGUGUGUGUGUGUGUGAUGACUACAAAUGUUUUCCUUAUUCUGUUGCCAGAUUCUAUUUCCACAAAUCAUACAGAUGCUGGAGUCUCCCAGUCCCCAAGGUACAAAGUCACAGAGAGGGGACAGGAUGUAGGGGCCAGGAUGUAGCUCUCAGGUGUGAUCCAAUUUCGGGUCAUGCAACCCUUUAUUGGUAUCAAAGGCCCUGGGGCAUGCCCCAGAGAUUCUGACUUUCUUCAAUUACGAAGCCCAACCAGACAAAUCAGGGCUGCCCAGUGAUCGGUUCUCUGCAGCGAGGCCUGAAGGAUCCGUCUCCACUCUGACGAUCCAGCGAACAGAGCAGCAGGACUCGGCCAUGUAUCUCUGUGCCAGCAGCUUAGCCACAGCGUGGCACAGUCACCUCCUUCCUGUUCACAAACCUCAUCCUUCUCUCUUCUUGCAGCUACUAGAGACCCUUAACAGAGGCCUCUCUUUGAUCUUCACUUUUCAUGGGAAAGAAGUAGAUUUGGACAUCGGCUGUCCUUUGGGUAGAAACAGAGCACAGAUUCAUUCCUGAAACACAGUGACUGCAAAUGUAGGUGGUGAAA